rnacentral:rRNA from 1 species
ACGCUGGCGGCAGGCCUAACACAUGCAAGUCGAGCGGAAACGACAACAUUGAUUCUUCGGAUGCUUUAAUGGGCGUCGAGCGGCGGACGGGUGAGUAAUGCCUAGGAAAUUGCCUUGAUGUGGGGGAUAACCAUUGGAAACGAUGGCUAAUACCGCAUAAUGCCUACGGGCCAAAGAGGGGGAUCUUCGGACCUCUCGCGUCAAGAUAUGCCUAGGUGGGAUUAGCUAGUUGGUGAGGUAAUGGCUCACCAAGGCGACGAUCCCUAGCUGGUCUGAGAGGAUGAUCAGCCACACUGGAACUGAGACACGGUCCAGACUCCUACGGGAGGCAGCAGUGGGGAAUAUUGCACAAUGGGCGAAAGCCUGAUGCAGCCAUGCCGCGUGUAUGAAGAAGGCCUUCGGGUUGUAAAGUACUUUCAGUUGUGAGGAAGGGUGUGUAGUUAAUAGCUGCRYMUCUUGACGUUAGCAACAGAAGAAGCACCGGCUAACUCCGUGCCAGCAGCCGCGGUAAUACGGAGGGUGCGAGCGUUAAUCGGAAUUACUGGGCGUAAAGCGCAUGCAGGUGGUUCAUUAAGUCAGAUGUGAAAGCCCGGGGCUCAACCUCGGAACUGCAUUUGAAACUGGUGAACUAGAGUGCUGUAGAGGGGGGUAGAAUUUCAGGUGUAGCGGUGAAAUGCGUAGAGAUCUGAAGGAAUACCAGUGGCGAAGGCGGCCCCCUGGACA